AUUGAACGCUGGCGGCAUGCCUUACACAUGCAAGUCGAACGGCAGCGGGUCCUUCGGGAUGCCGGCGAGUGGCGAACGGGUGAGUAAUGCAUCGGAACGUACCCGGAAGUGGGGGAUAACGUAGCGAAAGUUACGCUAAUACCGCAUAUUCUGUGAGCAGGAAAGAGGGGGAUCGCAAGACCUCUCGCUUUCGGAGCGGCCGAUGUCGGAUUAGCUAGUUGGCGGGGUAAAGGCCCACCAAGGCGACGAUCCGUAGCGGGUCUGAGAGGAUGAUCCGCCACACUGGGACUGAGACACGGCCCAGACUCCUACGGGAGUCAGCAGUGGGGAAUUUUGGACAAUGGGGGCAACCCUGAUCCAGCCAUGCCGCGUGAGUGAAGAAGGCCUUCGGGUUGUAAAGCUCUUUCGGCUGGGAAGAAAUCGCAUCUCCUAAUACGGGGUGUGGAUGACGGUACCAGCAUAAGAAGCACCGGCUAACUACGUGCCAGCCGCCGCGGUAAAAC
rnacentral:rRNA from 1 species